AAUUCGAUGCAACGCGAAAACCUUACCACCUUUGACAUGUACGGAAGCCUUUAGAGAUAGAGGCGUGCUCGAAAGAGAGCCGUAACACAGGUGCUGCAUGGCUGUCGUCAGCUCGUGUCGUGAGAUGUUGGGUUAAGUCCCGCAACGAGCGCAACCCUUGUCAUUAGUUGCUACAUUCAGUUGGGCACUCUAAUGAGACUGCCGGUGACAAGCCGGAGGAGGGUGGGGAUGACGUCAAGUCCUCAUGGCCCUUAUAGGUGGGGCUACACACGUCAUACAAUGGCUGGUACAAAGGGUUGCCAACCCGCGAGGGGGAGCUAAUCCCAUAAAGCCAGUCGUAGUCCGGAUCGUAGUCUGCAACUCGACUACGUGAAGUCGGAAUCGCUAGUAAUCGUGGAUCAGAAUGUCACGGUGAAUACGUUCCCGGGUCUU
rnacentral:rRNA from 1 species